UGCCGCGUGCAGGAAGACGGCCCUAUGGGUUGUAAACUGCUUUUAUACAGGAAGAAACACUCGUACGUGUACGAGCUUGACGGUACUGUAAGAAUAAGGACCGGCUAACUCCGUGCCAGCAGCCGCGGUAAUACGGAGGGUCCGAGCGUUAUCCGGAAUCAUUGGGUUUAAAGGGUCCGCAGGCGGUCAAUUAAGUCAGAGGUGAAAUCCCAUAGCUUAACUAUGGAACUGCCUUUGAUACUGGUUGACUUGAGUCAUAUGGAAGUAGAUAGAAUGUGUAGUGUAGCGGUGAAAUGCAUAGAUAUUACACAGAAUACCGAUUGCGAAGGCAGUCUACUACGUAUGUACUGACGCUGAGGGACGAAAGCGUGGGGAGCGAACAGGAUUAGAUACCCUGGUAGUCCACGCCGUAAACGAUGGAUACUAGUUGUUGGGAUUUAUCUCAGUGACUAAGCGAAAGUGAUAAGUAUCCCACCUGGGGAGUACGGUCGCAAGACUGAAA
rnacentral:rRNA from 1 species